ACAAUUAGUACACAGAAGAGGAAGCUGGACCUGAACGAAUGUAGAGUAAGACUUCAUGAGGAUAUCUGAGAACUGAUCAGGUUGAAGUGAAAUGACUGUUGGAUAGAAAGUUGCUCAUUUCCAGGUGAGGAGGCAUCUUUGGCACCUCCUAAAGAACUUGAAGCAAAAAUGGCGUGAACCAUUCCUCGUGCAACUUCAUAUUGGUUUAUUCCGAUCCAACCACAAGUUAUACGAGUUACAAUGACAACAAUAACACACCCAGUGUAACUUCAUAAGUGGGGUCUGAAGAGGGUGUUGUGUACGCAACUUACUCUUGUGAAGGUAGAAAGAUUGCUUCCAGUAGAUCUUCAGCCCUAGCAAUGAAUAUCAAAAAUCAAGUAUGUAAGGUAAAUAUAGUAGUAAAGAAGUCAUAUUGGAAAACAAUGGAGAAGAAAACAAUAGCAAUAACAAAUAAUAUGACAAUCGAGUUGAGACCCCAAUUCGCACCAAUAACAGAGUUGAGAACCCA